UGGGGAAUUUUGGACAAUGGGCGAAAGCCUGAUCCAGCAAUGCCGCGUGUGUGAAGAAGGCCUUCGGGUUGUAAAGCACUUUUGUCCGGAAAGAAAUCCUUGGCUCUAAUACAGUCGGGGGAUGACGGUACCGGAAGAAUAAGCACCGGCUAACUACGUGCCAGCAGCCGCGGUAAUACGUAGGGUGCAAGCGUUAAUCGGAAUUACUGGGCGUAAAGCGUGCGCAGGCGGUUUGCUAAGACCGAUGUGAAAUCCCCGGGCUCAACCUGGGAACUGCAUUGGUGACUGGCAGGCUAGAGUAUGGCAGAGGGGGGUAGAAUUCCACGUGUAGCAGUGAAAUGCGUAGAGAUGUGGAGGAAUACCGAUGGCGAAGGCAGCCCCCUGGGCCAAUACUGACGCUCAUGCACGAAAGCGUGGGGAGCAAACAGGAUUAGAUACCCUGGUAGUCCGCGCCCUAAAACGAUGUCAACUAGUUGUUGGGGAUUCAUUUCCUUAGUAACGUAGCUAACGCGUGAAGUUGACCGCCUGGGGAGUACGGUCGCAAGAUUAAAACUUAAAGGAAUUGACGGGGUCAUAGCUGUUUCCU
rnacentral:rRNA from 1 species